CAGCGUGUUGAUCGCGCCGGUGCCCUGACCAGGGCUUAAUCGGGAAUGCGGUGCGGGCGCUCCGGCGCCCAAAUCCGCGGCUGUCCCUGCAACUGUGAGCGGAUAGCGCGAUGCACUGGCCUCCGUCCGAGGGGCAGCCACUGGGCGGCAACGCCUGGGAAGGCGUGCAGCGCGCGGUGACCCGCAAGCCAGGAGACCUGCCGGCGUCCGGUCGCUCUU
rnacentral:ncRNA from 2 species